GACCCCUUAUAGAUGAUGAGGUUGAUAGGUCUGAGGUGGAAGCGUGGUGACACGUGGAGCUGACAGAUACUAAUCGGUCGAGGACUUAACCAA
rnacentral:rRNA from 1 species